rnacentral:sRNA from 1 species
UAACAAUGUAUUGACCUGCACUAUCACGC